GCUUCAGCUACUUCCAUUAGGCAGUAGAAAACUUGGUCAUCAGGGUCGGUUGUGCGGAAGAAGCUGGGUAGAUCUCUCAGACGUAUGUCCUUCAUCCCUGGAACUUCAAAGGGUGUCUCUAAAUACCCAUUUAUUAGAUAGCUGUCAUCUGCAAUUAAUGAAAUAUUGAAAUUAAUCAGCAGUUUGUGAAUUACGUACGUACAAAUAGUCAAAUACAAUACAUGAUGUUUAAUUACAAAUUGGUAUAUAAACUAAUUAAGUUACCCUUGAAGGGAGUGAUUCCUUGGUCCAACAGAUGUUUAAACUGCUUAAACCCCAUGAAGCCACAAGCAGCAAAGCUCCAAUAGGCGACAGAAGGGAUACCAAACUCACGAGCAACAUCGACAGCAAAAGC
rnacentral:lncRNA from 1 species